rnacentral:rRNA from 1 species
AGAGUUUGAUCCUGGCUCAGAUUGAACGCUGGCGGCAUGCCUUACACAUGCAAGUCGGACGGCAGCGCGGGCUUCGGCCUGGCGGCGAGUGGCGAACGGGUGAGUAAUACAUCGGAACGUGUCCCGUAGUGGGGGAUAGCCCGGCGAAAGCCGGAUUAAUACCGCAUACGAUCUGUGGAUGAAAGCGGGGGAUCGCAAGACCUCGCGCUAUGGGGGCGGCCGAUGGCGGAUUAGGUAGUUGGUGGGGUAAAGGCCUACCAAGCCGACGAUCCGUAGCUGGUCUGAGAGGACGACCAGCCACACUGGGACUGAGACACGGCCCAGACUCCUACGGGAGGCAGCAGUGGGGAAUUUUGGACAAUGGGCGCAAGCCUGAUCCAGCAAUGCCGCGUGUGUGAAGAAGGCCUUCGGGUUGUAAAGCACUUUUGUCCGGAAAGAAAUCUUCUGAGCUAAUACCUCGGGAGGAUGACGGUACCGGAAGAAUAAGCACCGGCUAACUACGUGCCAGCAGCCGCGGUAAUACGUAGGGUGCGAGCGUUAAUCGGAAUUACUGGGCGUAAAGCGUGCGCAGGCGGUGCUGUAAGACCGAUGUGAAAUCCCCGGGCUUAACCUGGGAACUGCAUUGGUGACUGCAGCGCUGGAGUAUGGCAGAGGGGGGUGGAAUUCCACGUAGCAGUGAAAUGCGUAGAGAUGUGGAGGAACACCGAUGGCGAAGGCAGCCCCCUGGGCCAAUACUGACGCUCAUGCACGAAAGCGUGGGGAGCAAACAGGAUUAGAUACCCUAGUAGUCC